rnacentral:rRNA from 1 species
GACGAACGCUGGCGGCGUGCUUAACACAUGCAAGUCGAACGGUGAAAGCGGAGCUUGCUCCGCUGGAUCAGUGGCGAACGGGUGAGUAACACGUGGGCAACCUGCCCCUCACUUCGGGAUAACUCCGGGAAACCGGGGCUAAUACCGGAUAUGACCUCCUUGGGCAUCCUUGGAGGUGGAAAGUUUUUCGGUGAGGGAUGGGCCCGCGGCCUAUCAGCUUGUUGGUGAGGUAGUGGCUCACCAAGGCGACGACGGGUAGCCGGCCUGAGAGGGCGACCGGCCACACUGGGACUGAGAUACGGCCCAGACUCCUACGGGAGGCAGCAGUGGGGAAUAUUGCGCAAUGGGCGCAAGCCUGAUGCAGCAACGCCGCGUGAGGGAUGACGGCCUUCGGGUUGUAAACCUCUUUUAGUAGGGAAGAAGCGAAAGUGACGGUACCUGCAGAAAAAGCACCGGCUAACUACGUGCCAGCAGCCGCCGUAA